rnacentral:rRNA from 1 species
AACGAACGCUGGCGGCGUGCUUAACACAUGCAAGUCGAACGCGAAAGCCCGGGCAACUGGGCGAGUAGAGUGGCGCACGGGUGAGUAACACGUGGGUAACCUACCCUUGAGUGGGGAAUAACUCCGUCGAAAGGGGAGCUAAUACCGCAUAAGACCACGAGUUUCUUUGGGGAUUGUGGUCAAAGGUGACCUCAUUUCUCUGAGUGUUUGGGUUCACAUUUUUAAGAGAAUGUGGACCUCAGCGCUGUACAGUGAUGUUAUCGCUUGAGGAGGGG